AUGACCAUAUCUCGUUGAAACAUUGCUUCCCGUACGAUCAUCGAAGUUAAGCAACGUCGAUCCUGGUCACUAACUAGAUGGGUGGCCACUUGGGAAUACCAGGUACAGUAA